rnacentral:rRNA from 1 species
GAUGAACGCUGGCGGCGUGCCUAAUACAUGCAAGUCGAGCGAACAGACGAGGAGCUUGCUCCUCUGACGUUAGCGGCGGACGGGUGAGUAACACGUGGAUAACCUACCUAUAAGACUGUGAUAACUUCGGGAAACCGGAGCUAAUACCGGAUAAUAUAUUGAACCGCAUGGUUCAAUAGUGAAAGACGGUUUUGCUGUCACUUAUAGAUUGAUCCGCGCCGCAUUAGCUAGUUGGUAAGGUAACGGCUUACCAAGGCAACGAUGCGUAGCCGACCUGAGAGGGUGAUCGGCCACACUGGAACUGAGACACGGUCCAGACUCCUACGGGAGGCAGCAGUAGGGAAUCUUCCGCAAUGGGCGAAAGCCUGACGGAGCAACGCCGCGUGAGUGAUGAAGGUCUUCGGAUCGUAAAACUCUGUUAUUAGGGAAGAACAAAUGUGUAAGUAACUAUGCACGUCUUGACGGUACCUAAUCAGAAAGCCACGGCUAACUACGUG